GGAUUCGCUACCUGGUUGAUCCUGCCAGUAGUGCAUAUGCUU
rnacentral:rRNA from 1 species